CAGCAGUCGCCACGGGAAUACGGAGGGAGCUAGCGUUAUUCGGAAUUACUGGGCGUAAAGCGCACGUAGGCGGCUUUGUAAGUUAGAGGUGAAAGCCUGGAGCUCAACUCCAGAAUUGCCUUUAAGACUGCAUCGCUUGAAUCCAGGAGAGGUGAGUGGAAUUCCGAGUGUAGAGGUGAAAUUCGUAGAUAUUCGGAAGAACACCAAUGGCGAAGGCGGCUCACUGGACUGGUAUUGACGCUGAGGUGCGAAAGCGUGGGGUGCAAACAGGAUUAGAGACCCCCGUAGUCCCUGUCUCUUAUAC
rnacentral:rRNA from 1 species